CCGUCUGGAGAAGUCCGGCACUGUCAUUGCCAAUAUCGAAAUCAGUUCGGACAUCUGUGAGGACUCCUGGAAGAUGAAAGGAUAAAGCGGCAUUAUGUAUUAGGAAUUCGCGUGAUGUGUGAUAUACAUUGUAUACAUUGUACUUCGUACAUAUCAGACCAUCCUCAGCGGGAGUUGUUAAUUGACAAAGCAAAUAAAUCGUUAAUACAAGUCUGCUGCAUUCGAGUGUUUUACGUAAGCCCCAAAUUGUUCAGUUUAGCAGGGAGAUGGAUAUAUCUAUAAUUAGCACUCCCCAGUCAUUGUAGCCCCACUAUGCCGGCACAAAAAUUCCGGAAAUGUGGCGUGUGCUUUUAUGGGUCAUCAUAUUUUCCCCAGAGGGCCAUUAAUUAACCCAUCGAUAUCUAUUAAAGAGCAUCCUACAUACGAGUAUAUAUGAAAAGAUAGUACCAACUUUAAUUGAUCAAAUUUGAUACAACGCCCAUUUUUGUCGUUAUCUUUGUACUGGUAAUAUCUGCAAUCGAUAAUUAAGGGUGUGACAAUCUGUUGGAUUUCAGUGUCAUUAUUUAUCUUAAAAUAACAUUGACAAUGUAAAUAUAUCAUAAUCAUGCUGUUUAUAGCCUCGAAUAGUAAGUACUGAUAAGAUCCGCAACUUUUUAUCAGCUGAAGGAUAGCUUUUCAAUUGGUAACAAUCGAAGUGUUGAUCAAUCUUACUAUUUAUCGCUACAUAUCAAUAUCGUACUAGUUAUUGCGUAGCUCCGAUAAUCAAUGUAUCGAUCUAAUGCAUCGUCAUGCAAAUCUGUGUCAUGAUUUGAAUAUCGAUCGCUGCGAUCACCUUCGCACACAUUUUCUCAGGUUUGUGGGUAUAUAUUUCCUGCACGUCUCGUCUUCAGCUUUUCGACGUUUAAAAAUUCAUUAACAAACGGAUGUGCAACUAGCGAAUUAAUUGACAAACGACCUUCGUCAAUAACUGUUAGCCGAUCUAACGCUACUUCCUACAUUCUACAUGCAGCUCAAAAUAAAAACAAAAACCGCUAUUAAGCUCCGUAUUUCUAUUCGUCUCUCUUCGUACAUUGGCCUUUGCGGAAUGGCCAAAAUAAAAUAACUACCUAAAGUGCUUGAGUACCCAAAAAUAAACAACGGCCCACAAAAUCAAGUGGGCGAGGGAGAGAGUGGGAAGAGAGAGAGAGAAGGAGUGUGUCUGAGAUCAGAAGCCGGCAAAUGCAGCAGCAACAACAAUGACACACAGAAAGCUCAACAAGUUGUGCCCCAAAAAGAGAGAGCGAGCGAGUGAGAGCCGCAAAGAGACCUCAAGAGAGAGAGAGAGCCGAAGCUCCACGAACCCCCGCGAACCGAAGCGAAACGUGGCACGAAGCAGCCAAGUUGCAGUGAAUCAGCCUUUGCUUUUUAAUUAUUCCAUUUUCUGGGUCUUUUUGCUCAUUUCGCUUUGAGAAAUUUAUCGUACGAUGUUUUUCGACCAAUCAGCGUGUUUGUUUGCCUUGCCUAGUGACGUAACGGUUGGGGGACGCCACGCGAUAAGUCUGUGUGCGUGUGUGUGCGUGUGUGUGUGUGUCUGUGUGUGCACUGCAUUGCGAUUGUGGGCUGAGAGUGGCAGGCGGAGAGAGGUGGAGAAGGGGGCACAGUGGGGCUGGUCUGGGUGAGGCAUUCCUUAUGCAUAUAUGUACAUAUAUAUAAAUAUAUAUAUAUAUAUAUUGCUAUCUCGUACACUCAACGAGUAAUCUCAUUCCACGCAAGGAAUUCCUUUUGUUUAUGGGCAAUUCUUGGUCAAAAACAAAAAAAGAAAAAGUCAAAGCCACUAGGAAUACGUAGGUACAUACCUCCCUCCCUUUACCAUUUUUCCCCACUUUUGGGGAAGUUUCGUCAACGUAUUUGGUAUUUGCCGGCUGUCGCAUUUUUAGAACCUGUUUAUCUCUCUGUCUGCAUUCUCUCUUUGGCUUGUUCUCUCUUGUGCCCAAUAAACGCGACAGUGGAAUUCGCAAUGCUAGGUUUUACUACAAAUAAUAUUUGGACUUCCCCAAGAGGCGAACUUUCUGGAAACCAGACAAUGACAAGUGGCAAUUACUAUAAGACUGAAAAUAAUUUCUAUUACUUGAGCAAUACAAAUUCCAGAAGUCCAAAUUCCGAAGUACUACUCAUGUAAAUCCGUUUUGAAGACGGAAAAUUUGAUAUUAUUACUAUGUUAUACAUAUGUUUUUAAAAAAUAAACUUCGGAUUGAAAUAAGUGUUUUAUUUUCCGAUUUCAACGAAGCUUAUCACUAUCAGAACGCACUGUACUGUGGCCAGAGAAAUCUGUAGAACGUUGAUCCGUUUAAAAUGCCAAUAUUUAUAACCAGGCAACUGCAAAAGGCACAACAACAAAGCCGGGACUCUCAUUACCAUGAAUGAAAAAGUUGUUUGCGUCCGAAAGUGACUGUUCUCAGUCACUCUCUCCCUCUCUUUCGGCACAACAGCAGUCUAUCUCGCUCCGCCCCCCAUGUUCUGUGGCGUCUGAUGACGUCGGCCUUGAAAAAUCGCGCGAUAUGCAGCGUAAGCUUUAAAAUCGGACGAUGAAUAAACGAUGAAUAUCUGACAGAUAUUUCGGCCACGAGUCGCAGUCAAAAACUAAAGAAAACCAAAAAAGAUAAAAACUCACUGAGGCUGUGACUUUCGCUUGGAAUGCAUUUGAAUGCUUAGCGAAGCACUCGAAUUGUGUUUAGAGAAAAGCUUUCUUGCUUUCUUUUCGGCGGGCCAGGUGGAAAUCAAUUGUGAAAGCGGCGGCGCCCAUAGAAAAGUGUUCCAACCAUCGCGUUCCAGACAUUCCCUACCCCAACCUUUUUUCUACUAUUCUACGGAUAGUUUUUUAUGUGUUUCAUUUUGCAUUUGCCUUUGGUUAAUUCAAUUUGUUGCGGCAAAAAGUGUGCACUGCACUUUGCGUAGGUCGUUGACCCAAAAAUAUACAUAUGCACACGAGGAUGUACAUAUAAACGUAUCUUGAAUGCAGAAUAGAACCAUUGACGUUGAAUGUGCGCGCAAACCUCAAACAAAAAUGCAAAAUACGCUAAGCAAAUGCAUUUGUUACAUCCACGCGUUUUGUGUAACCAAAGAACCUAUUCAAAUUUGUGGGAUACGUAAGUAAACGAUCCACACAAGUUUGUUCCAUAAUUAGAAAAUUUGCUGUGGAAUUGAUUCAGUAAAGUCAUUGUGAGUAAUAUUAAUUUCACUCAGUUGGCGAUUAUUUUCCAAGGGUAUUGACGACAAUUUCGGUUUGUCAAGGCUGCAUAUUUUAUAUUUUCCUUUCAUUGUUAUUUCUUUCCCCAAACUGCGAUGGCAACAAAAUGGAAAGUUUUUAUGUAUCUUUGGUAGGAAAAAAAAAGAAACAUUUAAAGCGAAUAUAUAAAAAACCGAACUCAGUGACUUUUGGGUUUAAACAAAUGCAAAAUAUGCACAAAACAAACGUUGAAAAAAUGGCACAAAAAAACAAGAAGUAAAAGUGAUUGCAAAAGACUUGAAAAUAACCAAAAACAGAUAUAUGCCACCGAAAUCUCAACUCGAUCAAUUGACAUAGACCAUUAUUGUGAUCGCUUGCUUUGGAUGCGGGCCAAGAAAAUUACGUCGGAAGCAUAGCAGAACGGCAACUUGGUCUAUAUAUCUCAGCCCACAUAUCUGUUGACCAAAAUAAAUGCCAGUUCUCGGCCCGAUGAUCAAAG
rnacentral:sRNA from 1 species